rnacentral:rRNA from 1 species
UCUGGAUCAUUUUCCGAUGAUUACACCCCAAAAAACAU